GACGAACGCUGGCGGCGUGCUUAACACAUGCAAGUCGAACGAAGUGGCGAACGGGUGAGUAACGCGUAAUCAACCUGCCCUUCAGAGGGUGACAACAGUUGGAAACGACUGCUAAUACCGCAUACUGAAGGAGGGGAUUGCGUCUGAUUCGCUAGUUGGCGGGGUAACGGCCCACCAAGGCGAUGAUCAGUAGCCGGGCUGGGAGGAUGAACGGCCACAUUGGGACUGGGACACGGCCCAGACUCCUACGGGGGGGAGCAGGGGGGAAUCUUUCGCAAUGGACGAAAGUCUGACGGAGCAACGGCGCGUGAGGGAUGACGGCCUUCGGGGUGUAAAGCUCUGUUAAGCGGGACGCGGUACCGGAAGAGAAAGCCACGGCUAACUACGUGCCAGCCGCCGCGGUAAUAC
rnacentral:rRNA from 1 species